rnacentral:rRNA from 1 species
AACGAACGCUGGCGGCAUGCCUAACACAUGCAAGUCGAACGAGACCUUCGGGUCUAGUGGCGCACGGGUGCGUAACGCGUGGGAACCUGCCCUUAGGUUCGGAAUAACUCCCCGAAAGGGGUGCUAAUACCGGAUAAUGUCUUCGGACCAAAGAUUUAUCGCCUUUGGAUGGGCCCGCGUUGGAUUAGCUAGUUGGUAGGGUAAAAGCCUACCAAGGCGACGAUCCAUAGCUGGUCUGAGAGGAUGAUCAGCCACACUGGGACUGAGACACGGCCCAGACUCCUACGCGAGGCAGCAGUGGGGAAUAUUGGACGAUGGGCGAAAGCCUGAUCCAGCAACGCCGCGUGAGUGAUGAAGGCCUUAGGGUUGUAAAGCUCUUUUACCCGGGGUGAUAAUGACAGUACCGGGUGAAGAAGCUCCGGCUAACUCCGUG